AAGACUGCAACCUGGAGGUAAUUUCUUCCACCACUUUUCACUUACUUGCACAGUCUUCAGUCAUCUUAUGUUUAUUACAAACCAUUAUUUUUACAAAAGAAAGGAGAAAAAUAGAAAGAUACACAGUUUACUGAACAUAAAAAUACGUGAGACAUGGAAAACAAAACUGAACUCCUUGCUAAUCAUAUGUAAAAAGAACAUUUUAGGCCUAACAGGGAAUGAUAAUGCCUCUUUACGGCGGAUUAGUGGGAAUGGGGGAGACCUCCAGGCCUUAGGCUGCUAGCCCCAUUACCUGAGAGGUGAAUGCUCUUCCCCCCACCCCUGCACGUGGUCCGGCGACCCCACAAGGAGCACACACAGACCACCUGGGAGGGACGGACGAAAGAGGAAGUUUAUUGUGGGGUUGGGGUUUAUAAGGCUUUUAGGAGGGUCAAAGGGGACCAAUCACAAGUUCAGGGUCACACAGAAAAAACCAUCAGGUAAAGGGUCAAACAGCCAAUAGGAAGGGGUUAACAAAGGACCAAUGAGAAACACCUCAGGGCACCUUCCCAGGACACCUUGUGUGAGAGACAAUAGUCCUUCACAGGGGGUGUCAGGAAGAAGGAGACAGUGACACUGCAGAAAAUACAAAAGCCAUUUUGAAACAUGUUUAAACCACAGUAAAAACUUCUGUCUCCAUAAGGUUUGGGCUAUUUUCCUCACCAGUCCAUCUCUGACAGGACUUUUUCCAUCCUGCAUAUGGCAAAUCCAUUGCCACACCUCUUCAAAACUAGGGGUUUAUAGUUAAAUCAAAUAAAAUGAAAGAAAAUCCUACUGAUUAAUAACAGUAAAUAUCGUGUAAAGACAUUUUGAUAAGUCACUUUCUCCUUCGUUAGUAGAAAACAACAGAUAAUACUUUUUUCCUGCUGUAUCAGAAACAGGAAGACUGGGGAGAAAAACUGAUAAAAGACUAAUAACAAUGAAGUCUCAUGCUUUCAGAUAUCCAUUAAUUACAGGCAGUGUCAGUAUGUAGGGUUUAGUUUUACUUUAUUUUGAUCAGUUUUGCUUAAUGACAGAAAAAAUACAAAGGACUUAUCACUGUAUUGUCCAUGUACUUUCACAUGAACAAGGCAACAUACAGAGGAAGACUAAAAUACCUGCGUUCCUAAGCAAACCUCCUUCUCAGCUGUUCUCUUCCACCUUCAUAUGCAGAAAGAGAUGUGGAAUAGUAUAGUCCAUUUCAAGGGGACUUUUUAUUUGGUACAUUCUCUAAGUACCUGGAAGCUUAUUGAGACUUUCAUACAAGUUGACAUAGGCUUGGGGCUACCCAAAGCUUAGGGGAUCAAAGCUGCCCUGAAUUAAUAUAAAAUACAUCAAACGUCAGUUCUUUCCCACUGGCAAAACUCUUGCCUUUGGGGACCAGCAUAGAAACAUUUGAAUUAGAACCAGCUCAUGCAAUAUCAUCAGGAGGUACAGACAGAGCAAUCUUAAAUUUGUCUGUAGUGGGCCUAGCUGAUGAUGGGAUUGGAGAAAAGAUGAAAGAACAGAGAUCAGAAAGGUAAGGGGGAUGAAACAGAUAACAUUACCAACACAAGAGGUCUUUCAGUCAGAUGUCUUGAAUUUAGGGCACUAGAUACAGAACUAGAAGUGUUCCAUCGUAGUGACUGCAGUCUUGUAAAUGACCUAAGAUGUAUUUUUUAAACCUUCUCAUUUUUUAAACAAAAUUAUUCUCCUUUAGUAAUGUAGCACAUUGACUUGUAAUUUUGUAGGGAACACACCACCUUGGUGUUGUUGUAGGUAUUGUUGACUUCAGCCUCUUAUUGUACAUUAUUUAGUCAAGAACAUUUACAUUUACAAAAGCUGCAUUUAAUCUCAUGACAUGAGAGUACAUGACAAGGGUGUUGAGAUGGUUUUUUAAGGUGUUUUUCCCCUAGGUAGGAAUCUUUAUGGACAAGAAAAUACUUGUGCUAUCUGUAAUGUAGUCCUACCAGUUUUAAAAAUUAAACGCAUGUAACUUGCCAUAAUUUCCUUCAUGAAUUUAUAUUUUCUUUAAAAUGGUCUAUGGAAAGGAGAAUGAGAUAGGUUAGCUUAAUAGUUGAGAGAGGGAGUGAGAAAGAGAGAAAGUAAUUUCAAUAUUAUGCCAUGCCUGCUGGGCUGGAUUUAUAAAAAUACUCACAAGCGUGGGUUUUCUUCUUCUGCAGUUAAUCCACUUCUGUGAGUGUCCUGUGCAGCAUCCUUCCACGUAAUAUGCAUUCUUAUUUGGUUCAUUAACUUCUCUUUCUAGAGGACAAUGCCAUAUAGUUGACAGCAAGGGAGCUUGUGAAGGAAAAAGACAGAUAAGCAGGAGCUUUCAUACAGGAAACAAUAGGAUUAGAUUUAUUUUUCAAAAGGAUACUUUGCAAAAGUCCAAAUGUACCCAAUACCUAGCUGAAGAGAGUACCAAGUUGUAUUCUUUAUAUCCUGUUUACCAGAUGUUGUCUGAUAUUCAGCAACAUACAGUUUCUAUAGCAACUGUUCGAAAAUAUGGUACAUAUAAUGUAAUAUUAAGAAAUUAAAAGGUCAAACUCCAGUACAUUUGAAAAAAAAAAAACGCCCAAAGCACCUUUCGUAAGUGUACAUGCACAGCUAGCGUCCUGCACUCAUAUAUGAGACAGGUGUUUUUGGAACCUUUCAAUGCAUGCACAGUUCACCUGAUAGAAUUUUGACAAAAUACAAAAGAAACAAAAGUAGUUAACAAUCUAAUAUGCUUGCAUUUGUGAAAAUUUGCACUGAGUUCAUCUGAGACUGAAAUCUAAGCCAAAGAUGCAUUUCCUCUCCACUUACUUGUUCAGAAAAGCCUAAGAUAAACAGACCAUGAAAAGGAGUAGCAGAACAUCUUAGGCAGCACACAAAGAGGAUUCUUUAUUGGGUUUUAGCUGUGUGCCUGAAGUCCAAUUAUAGCCCCAGUAAGAGUGUCUGCAAAGGAGCAUGAAACAUUGGAGUGUGUGAUGUAAUUAAGAAAGUCUGUGGCUUCAAACAGGGAUAUAUUCAGUACUUGCCGGUGAUAUAAUAACAUAAUGUGCAUUGAAAUAGUCACUGAUACAGUGUCCAGAGAUUCCUGCAGUGUGGAAAAAACAUGAUUUCUAACAUAGAAGUGAUACUUUUAUCUUGCAGUUGUUAUUUGAAUAUUAGCUCACAUAGAAUGAAUCUGAGUUAAUACACCAGAACUUACAGGGAAAAGUUUUACCUGAGGUCAAAACAUUGGAAAGCAACUAUGAUGAAAAAAUAAGAUCUUGGAAGAGAUGCCUUGAAGUGACAUAGAUGAGCUUUAGACGACACAGUAUGUUUUAAAAAAAUUUCAACCUUUCUGUAUGAUGAAAAGGAAAAUGUUCUUGUCUACUUUUGGAGCAGCAAGAAUCCUUCUGCAGUUUGGUUUUGUUUUGUUUUUUUUUUAGCUGUACAGAAUUAGAAUAUCUCCCAGGUGAAACUGAAGAAAACAAAUACUAUUUUAAGAGCAGUAUAUUCAUGAUAUGAACAUGCAAUACCUUCAUUCAUUUGACAUGGCCUGUGAGUUUUCAAUGUGUAGGAACAGAGGAUGAUAAUAAAUGGUGUAUUUAGGAGGAAAUUUUAGACAAUCCAAGCCUUCACUAAUACCAGUAAUGUCACUUCAUAUACAUGGUGGAUUUUUAAAGAACUUUAGUACCAGUCUGACCAAAGCCAACAUUUACAGGAACGUUGACUAAGGCAGUUAGAUCAGGUGAAUAUCGUGCAUGGAGAUGAUGGAUUAACUGACUGUUAGAAAGUCGAAAAAGGAUUCCCAGCCAUUAACCCCAUGCUCAGCAAUUCACACAAGAUGUUUUGAAGGCUCAAGUUUGAGCCAUGAAGAGCACUGUGUGCCAUAGGUGUGUUCUCCCAGAAACAGACACUGCAAUCCUAUCUCAGUUUUAAACUAAGUAUAAAUGCAUGCCAGAAUGUCCCUUUCUGAGUACAUAUCUGCAAAAGACCCAUGUUGCUGUCCCAGUUGUGUCCAAAGAAGAGGGAAGAAUCUUUAUUUGAUUUAGCUGGGCAAUGAUAUGUUUUCUACCCCUGGAGCAGGAUGGCAAAUUAGAUUGGCUCUGACAAAGCGAAGCAGACUCCCUGUGGCUCUGUGGUAAAGGGCAAGCCAGUACUGCUAAGUAUCAGUUCUUUUCUUUCAUCUUCAGCCACAGAGUGGAGAAUAGAGAGAUGCUUAAAUAUUAUAAUGGCUGCCUGAGGUGGGAGAAGUUCUCCGGUGGCACUACAGUCUCUGCAGAGACGAUGGUGACAACUGUUCUCAUGUCCUACAGCCUAAUCAGAGGACCAGGCAGGACUUCGGAGGAAUGAAGUGCAAAUACUGACACUUGUUGGAUGACUACCCAUCCUACUUAAGCCUUCGGGUUUUAUCAUUCACUGUAGAGGGACUUGCUUACAGAUCUGUGUGAUUGAAAAUGAUUGCACUUAAGUAAUCUUAACUGUUUUUUUAGCAAUUGUGGUACUCAGUUGAUUACUAAUUAAGAAAUGAAUGAAUGAAUGAAUAAAUAAGGGAUGUAUCCAAUUCACAGUCACUUGAAGAUCAAAAAUACACAAAUGAAAAUAAAGAGAGGAGUAAUUUUCACUGUAUUUGCCGUUACUAUUGAUGACUUCCUCUCAAAACUGCUCAAUUUUUUGUGGAAAAAAAUGAAGCCAUGGAAGUGAACUGCACCCCAAGAAACCCAUAUGGUAAAUGUGAAAGAGAGUAAUGUCUAAAAGAGAUACUGGUGCCUACAGUUUUGGGUAGCUCAACUGUGAGUUGGGGAGCUCAACUGUGAGUUGGGUAGCUCAACUCUGAGCUUAUAUGAGGUUAUGCACAAAAAUUGGUCAUUAUUACAAAGUGAAAUUGUUCUAACAAGCUUAAGUUAGCUGUGGUUCUGCAGUACAGGCUAUUGAUGUAUACAAAGGGUUGUUUACAGAAAACGGAA